GUGAAAACUGGCCUUAUGAGGUUACUGCUGGAUCAAAUAGAGACUUAAACAGCAAUGUUACUGUAGCAGAGAAUGGGGAAACUCAGGGAAUACUUUGGAUCUACCCGAUUAAUGGAACGCCUGAAGCACCACAGCAGAAAUCAGUUGUGAUUCGCUGUCGAGCCAGGCAGAGACUGGA